AUUCUCCCUUAAAAUAUUGUCUAUACUAUUAAUCUGUAAGCAAAUGCUUUAUUUCAUAGAGAGUUAGAAAGGUAAGUUUCAGGUCAGCUCACAUCUGAAUUAUGAUGGAUUCCAAAUUAGCAAAAUUCAAAUUAAUGAUGUUUUGCUGUACUGGUCUGGUUUUUGCUUUUUCUUUUCUUUUUCCCUGGACAGAGUACAGAUGCAGUGCUCUGGAUUCUAAUCCUUUGUCUUAUAUCUCAAUGCACAUUUGUUCUUCUCUUAGAUAUUUAAAUACAUAGGACUUCAUCAUUUUCAAGGUGAUUAAUAUGCAUUUUUUAUUUGUCCACAAAUGACCACUCUCUUCUCUCUCCUAGUUAUCAGGUUGUUAUGAAAAUGCAAGGUAGUAUUUCAGCAGAUGGCUAAAUUUAAUUUUUUUUCUUUUUACAGUUUCACAGAAAAAAAAGUGUUAAGAAUUGUUCUUAACCGCUUCAGACUCCAGAGCGCGAAGGUCUGUUGCAGAUGUUCGGACAUCAAGUCUAGACAAUUCAGCUGUGCCCUUGAGUUAAUGGUGUUUAUGGUAUGUUUUCCUUUUUUAAUUUUCCCAUCUUGCCUGCCUUUGAUCUGUUUCCAAUUCACAGAACCAAUAAAGAGAUAACUUUUUCUUCCUCAUUCUGGUAGAAAGAUAUCUCCUUAAACACUUAAAGGGCAAGUCUAGCAUAAUCACUCACAGUAAUAACGUCAGGUAUCAAGUUUUAGAAUCUUCUUUGCAGUUAUAUUUCCAUUAUUUUUCUUGGAUUUCCUGUACAGCUAAAACCCAGGAGUUUUUGUUCCUUGUACAAUUUGAUCUAUAAGAUCUUGGCUCCAUGGGUGACCAAGAACCACUGCAAUAUUUUAGAAGCAUAACAACAUGACAGUGAUGCUCAGUUUUCUAAACAGUAAGUGCAGAGCAGAAUGCUGGCUCAUGAACCUGACCCCAAAGCUUUGGACAUUACUUUCUCUGCAGUGGGGGGCCAUGAAGGACCAUAUCAAAGCAUCCUGGUGGGAGGAUCAGGGAAUUGUAUGAGAGCAUGCCCCUAUACAGAAAACUGUGUGCUGAUAUAGGGAAAAGAGAUUCAAGGCAAACAUAGUGGUCCAUCUCAGUACCUCUCACUCACUCUUUUCUCAUUCAGUCCUCUUAUUACAGAAUAAGUAAUGCACAGCUCACCACAGUGGUUGAUUCUCCUAUGAUAUCCUAAUACUUUCUAUACCAAAGUGGCUGGUGUCCCAUUCACCAUUCUUCACGCUACACAAGCAGUGCUAUUAGGUCGGGCCACCUUUAAAUGGACCUUCAGAAUUGCGAUUAAUUAUUUUCUUCCCAAAGUUGCUUCCUCAGCAGUAAAAUGCUCAGAGGAAACUUUCUUAUAAAAAUGGAAGAACUGGUAUUCAACCUUAGAACAAGACAUAUUUGAACUGCAUUAUUUUCCUUAGAUGGUAAUUGCCUACAAUCCGCAUCAUAGAUUCUAGUGUUAGACUCUAAUGUUUACAAUGUUUUUCUCACAACAAUUUUCUCAAGACUCAGUUCAGGUGCCACUUCCUUUAGGAAGCCUUAAUUCUCCCAGGUGUUCAUGCUAUGUCCAUCUUCAGAUUAUCUCAUAUUACUUUGCUGUGUCUGUUCUGUUCUAGGAGAGUGUAAGCUCCCUGAGGGCACAGUGCCUUGUAUGUAGUCGAUAUUUAAUAAAUGACUAUUGAAUCUAGUUGUUGUUGGAGUG
ensembl:lncRNA